rnacentral:rRNA from 1 species
CCUACGGGAGGCAGCAGUGGGGGAUAUUGGACAAUGGGGGAAACCCUGAUCCAGCGACGCCGCGUGAGUGAAGAAGUAUUUCGGUAUGUAAAGCUCUAUCAGCAGGGAAGAAAGAAAUGACGGUACCUGAGUAAGAAGCCCCGGCUAACUACGUGCCAGCAGCCGCGGUAAUACGUAGGGGGCAAGCGUUAUCCGGAAUUACUGGGUGGAAAGGGAGCGUAGACGGUAAUGCAAGUCUGGAGUGAAAGGCGGGGGCUCAACCCCCGGACUGCUCUGGAAACUGUGUAACUGGAGUGCAGGAGAGGCAGGCGGAAUUCCUGGUGUAGCGGUGAAAUGCGUAGAUAUUAGGAGGAACACCAGUGGCGAAGGCGGCCUGCUGGACUGUAACUGACGUUGAGGCUCGAAAGCGUGGGGAGCAAACAGGAUUAGAUACCCCUGUAGUC